rnacentral:rRNA from 1 species
GACGAACGCUGGCGGCGUGCUUAACACAUGCAAGUCGAACGGAAAGGCCCUGCGUUUGUGGGUUUCUCGAUUGGCGAACGCGUGAGUAACACGUGAGUAACCUGCCCUUAACUGUGUGAUAACUUCAGGAAACUGGGGCUAAUACCGCAGAUGAUCUCCUGCUGCAUGGGGUUCGUUGGAAAGUGUCGGCGGUAGGGGAUGGACUCGAUGCUUAUCAGCUUGUUUGUGGGGUAGUUGCUUACCAGGGCUUUGACGGGUAGGCUGCAUGGGAGGGUGACCGGCGACAAUGGGCCUGAGAGACGGAGCAGAAUGCAAUCGGACGCAGUAGUGGGGAACAUUGCGGAAUGGGCGGAAGUCUGAGGCAGAAAUGCCGCGUGCGGGAUGCUGGGUUUUGGGUUGUAAACAGCUUUCGAAUGUGCCGAAGCGUGAGUGACGGUAAUGGGUAAAGAAGCACCGGCUAACUACGUG